UUCUAAUGUGGCAGAAUAGUGCAAUGAACUUAAAAUUCAUAUAUAAACAAAUAUUUCUUUAGAAA
rnacentral:tRNA from 1 species